rnacentral:rRNA from 1 species
UACAGAGGUCUCGAGCGUUAGGCGGAAUCACUGGGCUUAAAGCGUGUGUAGGUGGAUCGGUAAGUACCUUGUGAAAUCCCACGGCUUAACCGUGGAACUGCUUGGUAUACUGCCAGUCUUGAGCCAGCUAGGGGCUACCGGAACAAAUGGUGGAGCGGUGAAAUGCGUAGAUAUCAUUUGGAACGCCAAUGGUGAAAACAGGUCGCUGGGAGUGUGCUGACGCUGAGACACGAAAGCCAGGGGAGCAAACGGG